CGCCGCGUGAGUGAUGAAGGUUUUCGGAUCGUAAAGCUCUGUUGUUAGGGAAGAACAAGUGCAAGAGUAACUGCUUGCACCUUGACGGUACCUAACCAGAAAGCCACGGCUAACUACGUGCCAGCAGCCGCGGUAAUACGUAGGUGGCAAGCGUUGUCCGGAAUUAUUGGGCGUAAAGGGCUCGCAGGCGGUUUCUUAAGUCUGAUGUGAAAGCCCCCGGCUCAACCGGGGAGGGUCAUUGGAAACUGGGAAACUUGAGUGCAGAAGAGGAGAGUGGAAUUCCACGUGUAGCGGUGAAAUGCGUAGAGAUGUGGAGGAACACC
rnacentral:rRNA from 1 species